ensembl:lncRNA
CACCUGAGCCUCCCCAGCCCUGCUCAACACCCCCUCCACCCCAUGCACGGCACCUAAACAUCCCCCAGCCCUGACCAACACCCACAUGCAGCGCUGAGCCUCCCCAUCACCGUGCAGAACCUCUCCCACAGUACUUCAUUGAUCAGCACUACAGACGCACACUGACCAACCCAGACAGAGACUCCACACACACCAAGCCUCAGGGCAUGUCUACAUUACAAACUUAAGUUGACCUAACAUAGGUUGACUUACAGUAAUUACUGCGGUUAUUCAUGUCCACAUUACCCUCCUGUCAGUGGUGCACGUCCUCGCCAGAGCUCUUCUGCCAACUGAAGUGGGGCAGUGCGGAGGCGGGCACCCAACUCAGAGAGCCCCAGGGGAUGUCUGAGGUGUGAGCCAGGGGGUUCACAGCAAGGAGCAGACAACUCUUUAUUGUUAAUUUCAGGGCUCCAGCAGGCAGCUGUGUGAGAUUGACAAGACUGACAGCCAACAACUGAUAUAAUAAGGCAGUAUCUACGGGGACACUACGCCAACAUAAUGAACCCGAUGCCUCUUGUGGACGUGGAGUUUCUGAGGACUUCCUGUCCAUUCUGAAUUCUUCCAUUGUGCAGCAUCACCCUUUCCCAUGGGCAGCAUCUCUUCUCCCUCAAACCGGGACCAGAUCAGAUUGGAUCAGACGCGUCCGAUUCGUACUCAGAUUUCUCUAUCAAGGUGACAGCUUCCUAUUUUGUUCAUAUCUAAAAUACAAUAAAAACUAGUUUAUUAGAUAUGUAAUUGGAAAGAAUAAAACCUAAGUGACUAGAUUAGAAUAUUGCAUUAAUGUCACUUCAGAAGAAAGGUACAAAUUAAGGAUUAAAGGCUCCCAAAAUCAUUUAAAAAAAAAAAACCUUGCAAGUUUGAAGAUCAGAUGUUUCCUAGUAUUGUGAUUUGAGAGCCAAACAUUGCAGCAGCAAUACAUCUAAACAAAAUCAAUAAUUCAAUUUCUUAACUGCUAUAAUAUUCCAAGCUAUCUAUGUUCACUGUGCUAGAAAUAGUGUAUGUUCAACUUUGACAGGAGUACCCUAAAAGGGUUUGGUUUUUUUUAAAUCACUUCUAUGACUCAACAAAAACGAGGAGUCCUUGUGGCACCUUAGAGACUAACAAAUUUAUUUGGGCAUAAGCUUUCAUUGGCUAGAACCCACUUCAUCAGAUGCAUGGAGUGGAAAAUAGAGAGGAAAAUAUUCCAGGAGCUGGUAUAAAUACAUGAAAGGAUGGGAGUUGCUUUAUCAAGUCUGAGGUCAGUCUAACGAGACAAUUAAUUUAACAGUAGGAUAGCAAAGAAGGAAAAAUAACUUUUGAAGUGGUAAUGAGAAUGGCCCAUUUCAGACAGUUGGCAAGAAGGUGUGAACAACAGUAGGAAGAAAUUAGGUUUAGGUUUUGUAAUGACCCAAUCACUCCCAGUCUUUAUUCAGGCCUAAUCUGAUGGAGUCCAGUUUGCAAAUUAAUUCCAGUUCUGCAGUUUCACAUUGGAGUCUGUUUUUGAAUUUUUUUUGUUGAAGAAUUGCCACUUUUAGGUUACUAAGUGAACAGAGAGACUGAAGUGUUCUACUGGUUUUUGAAUAUUAUGAUUCCUGAUGUCAGAUUUGUGUCCAUUUAUUCUUUUGCGUAGAGGCUGUCCAGUUUGGCCAACGUACAUGGCAGAAAGGCAUGGAUCAGUUGGCUCACACUGAA